UACGUAGGGCGCAAGCGUUAUCCGGAAUUAUUGGGCGUAAAGGGCGCGUAGGCGGCUAGAUGUGUCAAAGGUGAAAUCCCUCGGCUCAACUGAGGAACUGCCUUUGAAACUGUCUGGCUUGAGGCCGGGAGAGGGUAGCGGAAUUCCCAGUGUAGCGGUGAAAUGCGUAGAUAUUGGGAGGAACACCAGUGGCGAAGGCGGCUACCUGGACCGGUUCUGACGCUGAGGCGCGAAAGCGUGGGGAGCAAACAGG
rnacentral:rRNA from 1 species